GCAUUAUUAAACCAUCCAAGCAUGCUGGUCUCAACCACAAAAUUUAAUUUUCCCUACUGCAGGGACUAAUCAACCACCACAGACUUUAAGUCCUGAGGAGACUGUUUUUAUCUGUAUUUUUGCCCCCUCGGACUGAAGGAGAGUUAAUUUUACAGUUUUGUCUGUCCUCGGGGCUUCAAACAGUGACAGACAUUCAGCUUGAUGGGAAACAGAUAAGUGGAAUUUUUAUGAAUUCAUCCUGUGACAUAUAUUAAAGGAAGAUGAAAGCUUAAAAGUAGCCAGUAACACCUCAGCAAAUAUUUUUUGAGGACCCCAGUAUUCCUUCAAAAAAAAAGGAGGCAAAACUUACCCAAGGAAAAUAAAUUCAGUACUUGACAUCAUCUAAGUCUUGUACUUUCUAAAACUGAGGGUAUCCAAAGACUUAUGAGGCAGUCUCAGGCAUAAGAUCCAUGGAGGGAUGCUUUGGAUUGGCCUCAUCAACACAGACUCACUCCUUGAGAAAACUGAUAUUGUCCUUCACCAUGGGCAGGGGCCAAGUGGAACCACAGCACACAAGAUGCUCAAAGGGGAGGAAAAACUUUACAGGAGGAGAGAUAUGACUUUCUGGAAGAAAUGUGGUCUCAGCUUGGCUACCAUCUACAGAGACUUUUCCCUCCAUGGUUCCCUGAACACCUAGGAACUGGCUGCAAGAGUUUCUCCAUGGAGGGCUCCUGAAGUUGGAAAUCUUAUUCAUUCUCUCUCUCUCUCUCUCUCUCUCAUUGAUCAAAGGAGUGGGUUAACCCCACCCACCCCAGGAUGUGGUGGCAGACACAUCUGUUCAGUCUGGCUUACUGCCAACAGGGGAUUUACUUUCUGGAGUGGAGGGGAGAGGAACUUUUAUGUAAGGAGGGGAUUUAUUGUUGGCUGACGGGGUGUGGCGAGGGUGAAGGGUGGGAACCACUUCAGUUUUGUGGCCGGAUUGUCUGCCUUUUUUUGUACUGCACAGUUUAAUCUUUGUAUGUGGUUUUCAGGACUUUUGUGAGGGGGGCAAGUGCUGAGUCAGUGAACUUUAACGAUGAACCCAAACACUUUUUGAGAAUAAACUAUAGACCCCAAGGAGCA
rnacentral:lncRNA from 1 species